GAAGGAAUAAAUGUUAUUCUAGGGAGAACCUUCACUGGAAGCCUAAACAAAUUAGAGGCAAAGAUUCUUUCCAUUGAGAUGAGGCUGCUACACCACAUGGUAACUAAGUUAUUUUUUCCUAGAAGUGGUAGACAUGAUCUCCUCUCUGGUCGGGACAUCUACAUUAUGUAUCAUGUUAUUACUCAAACCCCCCUGAACCUCCCGGCAUUGAUGUUUGAGACUAUGAGAGAGACCUUAAAUAGGUCUAAGGCAUAUU
rnacentral:lncRNA from 1 species